rnacentral:rRNA from 1 species
AUGGCAACACAUCAUUGGAUCAUAAUAUGUGGCAUAAAGCACCAUGUUCAAGUAGGGAUUACAGCGGGGUGCAGGAGAGAGGACCGCGUAAAAGAGAUGAGGAUGGUGAUGAUGAUGGUGAUGUUGAUGAAGACGAUCACCGCGACGAUGAUUCCCCUCCCAAUGCCACUCCGGCGCCACCGAGAGAGAGGAGGAGAGGUUCUCCCCCUUGUGCUUCCUCCUCCAUGGCCUCCCCCUGGAUGGGGAGAGGUUCUCCCUCUGGUCCUUGGCCUUAAUGGCAAUGAUGACCCCUCCGAGAUCCUUCCCCAUGGCCUCCGGUGA